UACAGAGGGUGCGAGCGUUGUCCGGAAUCACUGGGCGUAAAGGGCGCGUAGGUGGCGACCCAAGUCUGUGGUGAAAGCUCGCCGCUUAACGGCGAGUCGGCCACGGAUACUGGGUGGCUCGAGCACUGUAGGGGCAGAUGGAAUUCCGGGUGUAGCGGUGGAAUGCGUAGAGAUCCGGAAGAACACCGGAGGCGAAGGCGGUCUGCUGGGCAGUAGCUGACACUGAGGCGCGACAGCGUGGGGAGCAAACAGG
rnacentral:rRNA from 1 species